rnacentral:rRNA from 1 species
UACGUAGGGUGCGAGCGUUGUCCGGAAUUAUUGGGCGUAAAGAGCUCGUAGGCGGCUUGUCGCGUCGGAUGUGAAAGCCCCGGGGGCUUAACCCCGGGUCUGCAUUCGAUACGGGCAGGCUAGAGUUCGGUAGGGGAGAUCGGAAUUCCUGGUGUAGCGGUGAAAUGCGCAGAUAUCAGGAGGAACACCGGUGGCGAAGGCGGAUCUCUGGGCCGAUACUGACGCUGAGGAGCGAAAGCGUGGGGAGCGAACAGG